UUGAGAGCGCAAAAAAAAAAUCAUUCUCAUCUCCUUUCUAACAAACUGUCCACCUGCUCUUUCUCUCUCUCUUGAGUCCAUCAAAACUCUCUCUCUCUCUCUCUCACACACACACAAACACAUAAGUAAAUGUAGGAGUCUCCAUUUUUAGCCGCGCCCUGUGAGAGUGCAAAAAUAUCAUUCUCAUCUCCUUGCUAACAAACUGUCCACCUGCUCUUCUCUCUCUCUUGAGUCCAUCAAAAUUCUUUCUCUCUCUCUCUCUCUCUCAGUUGUAAAAUUGAAAACUCUUCCCUUGCAAAUUUUGCUUCCCAAUCUUCCGUCUUCUCUUAUUACCAGCUUGAAUUUUUCCUUUCAAAAUGCCUCUCUCUAAAAUGGGUAUGUGAUCCCAUCUGUGGGCAGAUUCGAUACUUGGUACUACUCAAAAGGAAUGUAGAGAACCUAAGAAGAGCAACAGAUGAGGUGGGUAGCCGGAGAGAUGAGAUAUGGAGGGAGUUAGAAGCGGCAAUGAGUGCUAAAAAGAUCCUCACUGAAGAAAUAAAGCAAUGGAUAAAAGCAGUGUUUGAAAUUGAUGAAAAAGCAAAAAGAAUAAAAGAUGAGUAUGAACAAGGAAGGACGUGCCUAAGCGGGGUGUGUACAAAUUGUUGGUCACGUUAUAGACUCGGCAAGAGAGCAGCCAAGCUCAGGAAAGAGGCCGACCGCUUGUGUGGAAGAAACUUUGAUAGGUUAGCAACAACUCCACCUCCGGAGCCUGCCUGCAAUAGAGUUAGAACCACAACCAUAUGAGGAUCAUCAAACCACAGCCCGAUCCCUCAUUUUGAGGUUGUGAUAAUGGUCACGAUAUCCGAACAUCCAAAUUUUAAGGUGCUUGCAUUUGAAUUUGGACGAAGAUAAAAAACAGAAAUUAUUGGACUAAGAAGUACCUACUAAUAUUGGAUGACAUGUGGAAGAGAUUGGAUCUCAAAGAAAUCGGAAUUCCUCGACCACAAAAGAAGGAAGGAUGGUCGUAAGAUUGUUAUGGUGAGUGCACAGUUGAAGUAAAAACACUAUCAAAGGAAGAGGCUUGGAAUUUAUUCCUUGACAAGGCCGGUCCUCAUAUUUCUUCUCAAUCCCCUGGCUAGAAAGGUUAUUAAAAAGUGGGGGGGAUUGCCCACUCUUGCUCUUGCUCUUGCUCGGGCUAUGGCAUGCAAGGAGAGUCGGGAAGAUGCCAUGCCCUACGAAUAUUGAACCCCUCAGCUGCAAGUCUCCCAGGUUCGUGCUGAUCGAGAACAUGAAUUACUCCUCGCAGGAUCUCUUGAAGCAAAAAAUGCAGCAGAUGCCAACACUGAAAGAUGCUCAAUCUUUUACAGUAAGAACAACACAAUAUUCUUUUUAAUUUUUUUUCUCAAGUAUAUUUCUAGUGAUAUGCGAGAGCACUUCCUUUGUAAAUAAGGUUUAGUUUUUCCGGUAGUUUGGUGAAGGAUACUUGGGUUCAAUUUCUUUUUGCAUUGGGCCAUUGAAAAAAAUUACAAGUCAAUAGCGUUAACCUCUGUGAGGUGCUUGAUGUGAUGGCUCUAAGCCAUAGUUAUCAAAACCGGACUAGACUGCCAUACAGGGGUUUACCCCCAUUCAAACUCAGCGAAAAGGUAAAUGCACAUCGUUCCUUCAUAGUUCUUUUGCUCAUUUCACUAUAAACAUUCCUGUGUUUUAUCGAAAAAAGAUUGAAUAGGUGAUAUCUGUUAUGCAGAUAUCUCUUUCUGAAAAUUUCCUCAUGGCUGAUGUUUGAGACACUGUAUAACCAAUUCUGGAAUGAGCCUCUGAGAGUUCAUCUAUAUAUGCAAGGUGCCCUCGAUUGCUGUAGUCAUAUAUUACCUUCAUUCUAGAGGACAUUGGACAUUUACGUAUGGGUUGAUCAUCUGACCAUCGCUAUAUAUAUAUAUAUAUAUAUCCAAAACCAAAUUGUUUCUCUCUCUCUGUCUUCUGAAAAGCAUUGCAAUGUUGGAAACUUAUUUAUGUAUGUAUCAUUGAAUAUAA